rnacentral:rRNA from 1 species
GUGGGGAAUAUUGGACAAUGGGCGAAAGCCUGAUCCAGCCAUGCCGCGUGUGUGAAGAAGGUCUUCGGAUUGUAAAGCACUUUAAGUUGGGAGGAAGGGCAGUAAGUUAAUACCUUGCUGUUUUGACGUUACCGACAGAAUAAGCACCGGCUAACUUCGUGCCAGCAGCCGCGGUAAUACGAAGGGUGCAAGCGUUAAUCGGAAUUACUGGGCGUAAAGCGCGCGUAGGAGGUUUUGUAAGUUGGAGGUGAAAUCCCCGGGCUCAACCUGGGAACUGCCUCCAAAACUGCAUGACUAGAGUACGGUAGAGGGUAGUGGAAUUUCCUGUGUAGCGGUGAAAUGCGUAGAUAUAGGAAGGAACACCAGUGGCGAAGGCGACUACCUGGACUGAUACUGACACUGAGGUGCGAAAGCGUGGGGAGCAAACAGGAUUAGAUACCCCAGUAGUCC